CGCAACUUGCGCCCUCUGGUAUUCCGGAGGGCAUGCCUGUUUGAGUGUCAUGUAGACUCAUCUACUCAGAUUUCUGUCUGAGCAAGAUGGAUUUGGAGGCUUGCCUUUGUCUGGCUCCUCUUAAAAGCAUUGUGCAGACGUAAUAAGUUUCGUCGUAACGCGCACUCGCCCUUCUGGGCAACUACUUGUACUCUGACCUCAAAUCAGGUAGGGCUACCCGCUGAACUUAA
rnacentral:misc_RNA from 1 species